AGUGAACGCUGGCGGUAGGCCUAACACAUGCAAGUCGAACGGCAGCACAGUAAGAGCUUGCUCUUACGGGUGGCGGGUGGCGGACGGGUGAGGAAUACAUCGGAAUCUACUUUUUCGUGGGGGAUAACGUAGGGAAACUUACGCUAAUACCGCAUACUACCUACGGGUGAAAGCAGGGGAUCUUCGGACCUUGCGCGAUUGAAUGAGCCGAUGUCGGAUUAGCUAGUUGGCGGGGUAAAGGCCCACCAAGGCGACGAUCCGUAGCUGGUCUGAGAGGAUGAUCAGCCACACUGGAACUGAGACACGGUCCAGACUCCUACGGGAGGCAGCAGUGGGGAAUAUUGGACAAUGGGCGCAAGCCUGAUCCAGCCAUACCGCGUGGGUGAAGAAGGCCUUCGGGUUGUAAAGCCCUUUUGUUGGGAAAGAAAAGCAGCAGGUUAAUCCCCCGCUGUUCUGACGGUACCCAAAGAAUAAGCACCGGCUAACUUCGUG
rnacentral:rRNA from 1 species